UCUCCGUUGGUGAACCAGCGGAGGGAUCAUUACCGAGUGCAAACUCAUAACCCUUUGUGAACCUAUAUCUGUUGCUUCGGCGGCUCGCUCUCGAGCGAGCCCGCCGGUAAUAUCAGUAUCUCUGUUUGAACCCGACGAUACUUCUGAGUGUUCUUAGCGAACAGUUAAAACUUUUAACAACGGAUCUCUUGGCUCUA
rnacentral:misc_RNA from 1 species